ACACAAGACAGCGAGGAGACCAGAUGACAACGGCGUUUACGUCCUGAUCCAGCGGGGUUUCAAAGGCCUCUGUAGAAACAACCUUCAGCUCUGUGAAACCACAGGAAAGAGCCUGAAGUUCAUUUUUUAUGAAAGUUUGGCAUGGAGAUUGUAAAUUAUUAUUCCAAUCGUCUGUGGACAAGAACUAAAAAGAAAGGCUGUAGAUUUUAACGCGACCAUUUUAAAUGUAUGUAUAUGAGUCUGAAUUUGUAAAACAUAAUGCCAGACGUGUCUUUGACAACAUUUCUUUAUCAAAAUGAUGAUGAUCUGAAAGGCGUUUUUCUACAGUUGUGCUCAUCAGUUUACAAACUCUGGAAUGGAAGAAAUGAUGAACAUAAAGAACACUGUUACGAGCAUUCUCAUCAUGUUUGUGCAUGCUUUUUUGUUUGUUGUAUGUUGAGCGCUGUGAAUGCUCUAAAGGUUCUGCUUGUAUGUGUCUAGGUCCCUUAUGGCCUUCUGUUUCUCGUGAUCGGGUUUGCUGAGCUAAGAACUUGGAGCUGCACUGGAUUGGAGGGAGGAAGAAGACUGGAGCCGGCUCGGGAAGGUUUUUGGGCGAAUCCAUUUAUUGUUAAAACAUUCCGUUUACCCUUUUGAAACCAUAAUAUGUUGCAUGUUAGGUUGUGACGUACGGGUGAUGCUGUGGUACGGCGUCCUUACGCCACACUGUGGCCCUUAGGAAGGUGCGAAUGCUGCGAACACCAGCUCUGCAGGAAUAUUUGACUAUGAAGGGGAGUUCAGAUCAUGAUUUAUGAAUUAUUAAAGGUCUUUUGGUGUAGAACACGUGUACAAUAAGAUGUAAGGAAGAGCUCCACCCGCUGCCGUGCCCUUCCAUCCUGUCUAUUCUGUCUGAGAGAUCAGGGGGGGAAUUAGCUGAGCCCCCCCCCACAGCCGUCCAUCAUGUCACCGAGUUAGUGAAAGAUAGCAGCAGAAUGAAUGAAAGCUGCGGCGAGGUCUGGACCUGCAGGGAACCGAGGCGCAGCCGUCACUCUGCUGUCAGCGGUCAAACGGACCAACCAGCCGCCUUCCAACCACCAUCGGCGAGCGGCUGCAGGAAUCCUGAACUUUAAGAAGCUUUGAGGGCCACAGAGAGUCUUCAAUGGUGAACAGGAGUUCAGAUAAGAGGCCAGCAUGUUGCAGCUUUGCUGACUGCAUUACGGACGCAGGGAGGAUGGCGGUGGAAGGCAUGAAAGCUUUGACGAGUUUGGCCGCGUGAUGCUUCCGUCAAAUCUACCUCUGGGAUAAGAUUCACCAAUAAAAUAUUAAAUAUAACAUUUGUAAUGAACCCGGCACUCUGUGGUGCAGGCUGGCCCUCUCCACAGGAUGCAGAGUCAUUCUUGGACACUGGAAAACUAAUAAUAUUAUACCUUUUAGUGAAUGUUUGGGAGAAAUGACAACAAUAGCCAAAUAUGGACAAUCUAUGUUUAUGAUUGAGAAAAUGAAACUAUGGAUGAGAUAUUACUUAGAAAAGUAUAAGAAGAAUGAAGGAUGAAAAUAUUAUGUUGAUAUAACAAAUGGAUCUGUUGAAAAUAUGUAGGAGAAAGCUUUGAUGUAGACAAAUAGGACAAUUAUUACUGUCUCCUUACCCUGGUUUUUGUCUCCUACACACUGGUGUCGCAGAGCAAACGUGUAGUUUUCAAGAUUCAACUCGGAGUGGAUUAUUUGUUGUACCCAGUAUUUUUUUGUUUUUCUCACCCUUUGCUGUUUGUGUUUAGUUUAAUGUUAGGCUGUUUCCAUGUUGUUCUGGUAUCAGAUAAUGGAAAAGAAAAGGAAUAAACCCUGAUUUUUAAAUCUAACACUGGUCAGCAUUUAUAAAAAUGAUCUCAUUUCCUUUAAAUAUGCAUAAAAUAUCCGAACAGUAACGCAUUCAUAAUAUUGUCAGAUGUUGCUUUUAAGCUAAAUCAAAAGAUAUUAAAAAUCAAACCAGUUAUUGUUUGUAGACAAAAGUGUUUAAAAACAGGAAACUUUGGAUGAAAUUCCUGUUCUAGUCAUCCAUAUUUUUCUAUUCAUCAGUAAAUUCUUUGUAGUUUCAAACACAUUUCAGUUUCACUCAUGUUUCAAAAUCUGGAUUUUCACGUUGUUAUCCUGGUUUCUUGGAGUCAAUAAAGUUUGUUGAAAUUUUAA